GCUGAGGUGGCGAAACUGGCAGACGCUACGGCCUUAGAAGCCGUUGGGAGUAAUCCCGUGGGAGUUCAACUCUCCCCCUCAGCA
rnacentral:tRNA from 1 species